GGCGGAAGCACCGCAGACCGAGACCACCGUCAAAGUCCCUACGCCAUCUACUAGGGAGACGGGGGUCCGGCCAGCGGCUCCUGACGCUCCGGGAGGCCCGCAGGGAGUUCCGAGCUCCCAAAAGAAGGCAGCUCCCCGAGCGAGGUGUGUGUAGGUUUCCUAGUCUUUCCAUUGAUUUUUUGUUUUUUUCUUUCUUCUGACUUGCGUCGUCCUCUUAGCCGGAAGCAAAAAGCAGCGCCAGUGGCGCUGGCCCCCAUGAAGGCCGUAAAGAGGGGGGCACACUCGACCCCUGGGUCGUCGAGGCCCAAAUCGCCGCCCCCCUGAACCGCGAGGAGGGGGAGCUCCCCCAUGGUGAGGAGGGGCGGGUGGC
rnacentral:lncRNA from 1 species